CAGCCGCCACGGGAAUACGGAGGGGGCUAGCGUUGUUCGGAACUACUGGGCGUAAAGCGCACGUAGGCGGCUUUGUAAGUUAGAGGUGAAAGCCUGGAGCUCAACUCCAGAAUUGCCUUUAAGACUGCAGAGCUAGCAGGUGAGAGAGGUGAGUGGAAUUCCGAGUGUAGAGGUGAAAUUCGUAGAGAUGCGGAGGAACACCGAUGGCGAAGGCAGCCCCCUGGGCCAAUACUGACGCUCAUGCACGAAAGCGUGGGGAGCAAACAGGAUUAGAUACCCGCGUAGUCCCUGUCUCUUAUAC
rnacentral:rRNA from 1 species